UCCCGGGUGGUGUAAUGGUAACACAACGCCCUUUGGAGGCGUCAUUCAUGGUUCGAAUCCAUGCCCGGGAG
rnacentral:tRNA from 1 species